GAUGAACGCUGGCGGCGUGCCUAAUACAUGCAAGUCGAGCGAACGGACGAGAAGCUUGCUUCUCUGAUGUUAGCGGCGGACGGGUGAGUAACACGUGGAUAACCUACCUAUAAGACUGGGAUAACUUCGGGAAACCGGAGCUAAUACCGGAUGAUAUUUUGAACCGCAUGGUUCAAAAGUGAAAGACGGUCUUGCUGUCACUUAUAGAUGGAUCCGCGCUGCAUUAGCUAGUUGGUAAGGUAACGGCUUACCAAGGCAACGAUGCAUAGCCGACCUGAGAGGGUGAUCGGCCACACUGGAACUGAGACACGGUCCAGACUCCUACGGGAGGCAGCAGUAGGGAAUCUUCCGCAAUGGGCGAAAGCCUGACGGAGCAAUGCCGCGUGAGUGAUGAAGGUCUUCGGAUCGUAAAACUCUGUUAUUAGGGAAGAACAUAUGUGUAAGUAACUGUGCACAUCUUGACGGUACCUAAUCAGAAAGCCAGGGCUAACUACGUG
rnacentral:rRNA from 1 species